rnacentral:rRNA from 1 species
CCUACGGGAGGCAGCAGUUGGGAAUCUUCCACAAUGGGCGAAAGCCUGAUGCAGCAACGCCGCGUGGGUGAAGAAGGUCUUCGGAUUGUAAAACCCUGUUGUUAGAGAAGAAAGUGCUUGAGAGUAUCUGUUUACGUUUCGACGGUAUCUACCCAGAAAGCCCCGGCUAACUCCGUGCCAGCAGCCGCGGUAAUACGUAGGUGGCAAGCGUUAUUCGGAAUUAGUGGGCGUAAAGGGAACGCAGGCGGUUUGUUAAGUCAGAUGUGAAAUCCUUGGGCUUAACCUGGGUAGUGCAUUGGAGACUGGGAGGCUUGAGUGUAGGAGAGGGGAGUGGAAUUCCAGGUGUAGCGGUGAAAUGCGUAGAGAUAUGGAAGAAUACCAGUGGCGAAGGCGGCGCUCUGGUCUAUAACUGACGCUGAGGUUCGAAAGCGUGGGUAGCAAACAGGAUUAGAUACCCCAGUAGUC